rnacentral:lncRNA from 10 species
CGCGUAGGACAAGGCAGGAGGAGGGCGGCCCUUAUCGGUUCCCUAUAGGACUGGCUUCGCUGCCGGGGUCGGAGAUUCCUCGGCGCGGAGCUAGGGGCGGGUCCGGAGGCGGAGGCGACAGCGCCCGGCGGGGUACGCGCGGCUGCGACCCCGUCACUCCCCCGCCGCCUCCGCCCCUAACCCUCGGCCCCGUGCGCGAGCGAGCGAGGGAGCGAACGCAGCGCAACAAAACAAACUAGUGCCGGCUUCCUGUUGUGCAACUCGCUCCUGAGUGAGUCGGGGGCCGAAAGGGUGCUGCGGCUGGGAAGCCCGGGCGCCGGGGACCUGCGCGCGCUGCCCGGCCUGGCCGGAGCCUGUAGCCCGGGGGCGCCACGGCCGGGCUCGCAGUCCCCCCACGCCGGCCCCCCGGUCCCCGCCGAGCCAGUGUCCUCACCCUGUGGUUUCCUUUCGCUUCUCGCCUCCCAAACACCUCCAGCAAGUCGGAGGGCGCGAACGCGGAGCCAGAAACCCUUCCCCAAAGUUUCUCCCGCCAGGUACCUAAUUGAAUCAUCCAUAGGAUGACAAAUCAGCCAGGGCCAAGAUUUCCAGACACUUGAGUGACUUCCCGGUCCCCGAGGUGACUUGUCAGCUCCAGUGAGUAACUUGGAACUGUCGCUCGGGGCAAGGUGUGUGUCUAGGAGAGAGCCGGCGGCUCACUCACGCUUUCCAGAGAGCGACCCGGGCCGACUUCAAAAUACACACAGGGUCAUUUAUAGGGACUGGAGCCGCGCGCAGGACAACGUCUCCGAGACUGAGACAUUUUCCAAACAGUGCUGACAUUUUGUCGGGCCCCAUAAAAAAUGUAAACGCGAGGUGACGAACCCGGCGGGGAGGGUUCGUGUCUGGCUGUGUCUGCGUCCUGGCGGCGUGGGAGGUUAUAGUUCCAGACCUGGCGGCUGCGGAUCGCCGGGCCGGUACCCGCGAGGAGUGUAGGUACCCUCAGCCCGACCACCUCCCGCAAUCAUGGGGACACCGGCUUGGAUGAGACACAGGCGUGGAAAACAGCCUUCGUGAAACUCCACAAACACGUGGAACUUGAAAAGACAACUACAGCCCCGCGUGUGCGCGAGAGACCUCACGUCACCCCAUCAGUUCCCACUUCGCCAAAGUUUCCCUUCAGUGGGGACUCCAGAGUGGUGCGCCCCAUGCCCGUGCGUCCUGUAACGUGCCCUGAUUGUGUACCCCUCUGCCCGCUCUACUUGAAAUGAAAACACAAAAACUGUUCCGAAUUAGCGCAACUUUAAAGCCCCGUUAUCUGUCUUCUACACUGGGCGCUCUUAGGCCACUGACAGAAACAUGGUUUGAACCCUAAUUGUUGCUAUCAGUCUCAGUCAGCGCAGGUCUCUCAGUGACCUGUGACGCCGGGAGUUGAGGUGCGCGUAUCCUUAAACCCGCGCGAACGCCACCGGCUCAGCGUAGAAAACUAUUUGUAAUCCCUAGUUUGCGUCUCUGAGCUUUAACUCCCCCACACUCUCAAGCGCCCGGUUUCUCCUCGUCUCUCGCCUGCGAGCAAAGUUCCUAUGGCAUCCACUUACCAGAGCCCUCAAAAGGUUGUUACAAGAAAGUCUGCUCCUAGUAGUUCAUCACAUGUAUUGCCACAGAUGCAAGGACUUCCAUCUUGGGAAUCUAGGCAGGUGGUAUGUUGGAAGAAGAGUGGACUUUGGAAUCAGAAAACCUGGAAUCCCAACUUCACCGCUAACCGAGAGACCUUGAGCUGGUUCCUAAACCACGGGGAACUUCAGUUCCACUACAUGAGUUAUUGCAAAGGAUCUUGCUUUAUCACCCAAACUGUAAUGCAGUGGUGUGAUCAUAGCUCACUACAGCCCCGACCUCCUGGGCUCAAGUGAUCCUCUUGCCUCAGCCUCCUAAGGAGCUGGGACUACAGGUGCGUGCCCAGCUAAUUUCUUUUAUUUUUGUAGAGGCAGGGGGGUCUCGCUAUGUUGCCCAGGCUGUGGGUUUUUCAGGGUAAAGUUAUGGCUCAUUCUCUCUUCAGGACCCUGCUACCAUUUGGUCAAUUUAAUAUUAUGCAAGAGAAAUUCCAUUUCCCUAGUAGUUACACAAUGCCCGCUUUCAGACCAGCUAGUCAACCCUGUGAGGGUCAGAUAGAGUAGUUUAUCCAUUUGGUUGUCAGACAACUGCCUCGAACAGCCAGGCCAUUUCUACAUGUUCUCAGUUACUGGUUAACAAAUGUUGCCCCAGAAUUCAGCACCUAAUAGGAAAUACAUUCAUUUCCAAAUUCCUACUGAAAUAGGAUUUUUCUCAUUCCUAGAUAAAACAGAGGCACCCAGAUUUUCCUGGAAUGGCAUUCAGAAAUAGAGAAGGAAUCAUAGAGAAAUGUCUGCCCAGGCAUCUCUGAGUCUCAUGCCUUUUUGCUGUUGCUGCUGUUAUGACUCCUACCUUGGAAAGUUUCAGUCAUCCUUGAACAUCCUCCCCACCCCCAUGCUUUCCUGUCUUCUGUUUCAUAACUAAAUGCCAUUUAAAACUCUAGCUAUAGAUACCCCUUGCUGAUAUAAGCAACAGAAGUAGAGAGUCCUUAGAUUCUAGACUGAAUUUAGGGCCCAACAGUUAGACAAUUGGAACUUGAUAAUAACGUUAUCUCAGCAGAUUGCGUAAGUCAGAAAUGUUCUCCCUGUCACUGCUUUCUUUUUCCUUCCAGCAAGAAGUGGACAUUAAGGAGAAAGUGAAGGUGGCAAGUUAUGAGUGAUCUGUUUAAGACACAGUUUAGUUAUGGCAAUGAUAACAACUCACAUUUAUUAGGGGCUUAUUAUGUAUCAGGCUGAGCAAAGUACGUAAGAUUCUUGAUCUCAUUUAAUUCUCACAGUGUAGAGGCUAAUGAGUGGUGGAGGUGAGAGGAGGACGCAGCCUCCCUUGGCUCCAGGGCACACACUCUUAGCUGUAACACUCUAUUGCCUCCAUAAAGUAUGCUUAAU